CCCCGCCUCUGCCCCCCCUCUCUCUCUCUCUGCAGCCUGAGCUCUGAAGUAAGUAAGGAGCAGAGGUCUCCAUGACUUGCGUCUAUACCUUCUUUCUGGCAGGUAGCUUGGGAAUUCGAAGGCAUAUUUUGCUUCCCUCUCGGCUCUUGCAUUCCGAAUUGAGUUGUCAGUCAUCUGGUUUCUAGGUGAAAAGUUACUGCUAUUUUGUAUGUCUGUGAACUUCAUGAAAAGUCUGGCCACGUGGCAAGCACCAGGACAGGAAAUAUGGGGUGCACCCAUCUCACAACGAUGCACAGGAACUCCAUGAGCCUGUGAGAUUGAAAGAUCUACCAGAGUCCGUUGCCAGGUUUGGCUCUGUCUGCGGUGAAAUGUGGGGCCCAGGAGGAAACAGGAAUGGAUCUUCUCAGCUAUACUCGAUGACUCUGCCGAGAUUCCACCUGGAAGCUGCACUCAGCUCAGAGCUCCUAAUUACCAGCCAGCACGCAGGGUUCAACCUUCUUUAAAAAGAGGAGGAGGAGAUCCUUACAGAUCAGAGCAAAACUUGGAAGGCUGCUACAGCAAAGCUCUUAACCCAGCGCCAGGUUCCCCACUGGCUGACUUGGGCAGUUUGGGCUGCUAUGGAAAUGUGCUUUAGCCUCAACAGCUUAUGAACAACACAAAGACACCACUCUCCAUGCCAGAGGCUGGGACCCGAAGAGCUAAGCGCUGGUAGAAUAGGAGGCCAGAAGACAGUCUCCUGAGACUGGAGUUACAUGUGGUUGUGAGAUACCCAGCAUGGGAACCAGAAACCACCUUUUAGUCUUCCGCAGCGGCAGUGUGCAGGAGGAACUGUACCUGGUCACCCCGCCUGAAACAUCAUCCCACUGCUCUCCCACUACUGUGCUCCACACAGCUGGGGUGCUGGACCCUGAUAGAGACUCUGAGGGAGUGAAGAAAAGAGAGACACACAGGAAAGCUGGGAUCCAGUGAGGACUUGGCUACCUCCAGCAACCUGGAACUUCAGUGUUGUUUUUAUGUGGUUUUUGUUUUGCAAAGCACAGGGGCGGAGUUAGCUAGCCUCAGUAGGAGGUGUCUGUCUCUGAGCAUCUCAGGAUGUAAACAUCUGGAAGAAGAGGAAGCCACCAAUUUUCAUACAGACUGGUUACCCUCUCACUCUCAGACUCCCAAGGAAAGCUUUGCCAUCUCCUUGAGCCUGAUCCAAGUAAGGCUUUGCCACUCGGGUGGGGCUAAGGCAUUGGAACACUUGAUGUGGCAGUGCCCGUGUGAACAGUACACACUCACUCAGGACUUCUCAGGGCUCUCUCUGCUCCUGACACCCCAGCCCCUACUUUGUUUUUAAGCAUAUUUUUUUGUCGAUUCUUUAAGAAUUUUAUAUCAUGCACCCCAAUUCCACUCAUUUCCCAAUUCUUCCAUUUCUGCCUUCUACCCUUGUAACAUCCCCUCAAAGGAAAAAAAAAUCUCACUGAUCCCUCUAGGCAGGACCUGCUUCCCAAUCUAUCAAUCACAGCCUUCUCACGCCUGUCACAGCUGUUGUGUCUCCAGUUCCUCUGUGCAUGGACCAUUCUGCUCCUCCAUCUUUCCUGCCUCUCCAUCACAUAUUUGCCAUUGGGAUCUGUGGUGUGUAACACAGUAGACCCUUUUGCCCAAACAGCUUUACAUGCAAACACUCAUUGCAAUGAGUCAUUGGUCUGCUUCAAGGCCUCUGGCUGUUGCUACACCAUCAGUACCAGACCUUCAUCCAGACUCCUCUCAGAUAUCCUACUGUUGCCCCAAGUCAUAGAGAUCCUCAGCUAUGGUCACGAAGGACCAGCCCUUCACUUGAUCCAGCAAGCUCAUAAAUGGGGUGGAUAUUGGGGUGGACCAACUCAAAAUCCUGGGAUGUGGGCUUGGGUGGUAGAUGAGUUGGUCAGCCCACAAGUUCUUCCAUGAAGAAACCACUGGGGCCAGCUCUCCCAUCCUGCUCAGGUGAGGGGCAGAGCCAGCUCUCCUGCAUGUGAUGGCCAGAGAGGGGCAGGACCAACUCUGUAUAUCCCUAGGACACCAACAUGACUUCAAGUGUCAGCCCAGACCACGGACAUCUGCAUAGCCUUUGGUGGCAGCAUGGGCCAUGGACAUCAACAUAGACUCAUAGACAGCUGUGUGUGGCAAGGCCAUGGACCCAGACAUGGCCCUCGUCAGCAGCACAGGCCUGGGUAUCACCAUGACCUCAGGUGGCAGCACAGGCCAGCAUCAGGCUGUUCCUUACCACCCUUGUGUCUCCAGUUUGGCCUUUCUUCACAGUACACAAACCACUCUACUUGCUUUCUCUCCCCUCUCUCUACCACAUACUUGCUCAUUGUUGUGGCACUUGCCUGUUUUGUUAUUUUUUUUAAAGAGUUGUUUCCAGUAUCUAAAAUCAUUAUAUUAUUGAAUUAUUACGUUCCUUUCUGUCUGUUCUGGUUUGAAUGCAAACUCCUAAAGGAUAGAAAAUUUAUAUGUUCUGUUCAGUAUCCUCAUCACUUCCUGGACACUGAUAGUAUAUGCAAAUAUUAGCAAAGUAAAUUUACUUUUUUUCAAAUAGGGAAGACUUACAGAUUGCAUGUGUGGUUUAUGUCUUCAGCAUAUUCUCUCUGCCCCUCUCUCCCCCCCUUGUGUGUGUGUGUGUGUGUGUGUGUGUGUGU
rnacentral:lncRNA from 1 species